rnacentral:sRNA from 1 species
GUCAACUACCCCCACUUAUAGAAGUGGGGGCUUGCCCUGGCGGGGGCAGGGGAAACUAGCUGACUAGACGGUUCUCCGAAAGGAGAGCAGCGGCCCCGGUAGGCUACCCAAUCACUUUCGGGUGUUUCGCCAGCCCGUAAUAUGUGAGGCAGAACCGCUAAAUGCCGCGGCUGACCAAGACCAGCCUAAGCCUGCCGGGCAGCGUCGAGGCGACAAUCACUCCCGCAAGGGA